GUGCUGCCGAGCCGCGGUCGUGACAUAUGUUUGCUGCAGGAGCUGCCUACCGUAUCACCGCGCUACCGCUGUGUUCCGAGGUUGUCACUAGAAAGCGAACUGGGUCAGAAGCUUCGUAAUGAC